rnacentral:rRNA from 1 species
CACGUUUGACAUGUCCAGUAUGAUCGCCAGAGAUGGCUUUCUUCAGUUCGGCUGGCUGGAACACAGGUGCUGCAUGGCUGUCGUCAGCUCGUGUCGUGAGAUGUUGGGUUAAGUCCCGCAACGAGCGCAACCCUCGCUACUAGUUGCUACCAGGUUAAGCUGAGCACUCUAGUGGAACUGCCGGUGGCAAGCCGGAGGAAGGUGGGGAUGACGUCAAGU